GGACCUGUCUCUGGAGGGUCCGGCCUGGAAGAUAUCCCGGAAACAAGGUAUCCCCCACCCCCUGCCCCAGCAGGAAGCAGUGUGAGGUCGUCCCUCCCAGCCUCUCGCUGUCCUUUCUAGCCCUGGGCUUGGUGUCCAUGGGGACCCUCGUGGACCACCUGAGGCAGGGAUUCCUUGGUGUCUGCAGGAAGCAGAGCUGGUCCAUGGAAGCUCCUGGCUCUCUCUGGCCUUUCCCCAUCCCAUCAAUCCCUCCCCAUCCCAUCAUCCCUUCUUUCUUUCUGCUUCCACAGGUGUCAUCAAGCUGAAGAACAACGGUGAUUUCUUCAUUGCCAAUGAGGGUCGACGGCCCAUCUACAUCGAUGGACGGCCGGUGCUCUGUGGCUCCAAAUGGCGCCUCAGCAACAACUCUGUGGUGGAGAUCGCCAGCCUGCGAUUCGUCUUCCUUAUCAACCAGGACCUCAUUGCCCUCAUCAGGGCUGAGGCUGCCAAGAUCACACCACAGUGAGGAGUGGUGGCAGGACUCGUGGGCCCUCUCCGGCCUGUUUCCCCUGCCACUCCAGCCCCCUUGAGCUGGGAACUCAGGCUCCUGGAAAAACCUGGGCAGUGGGAGGCUCAGCUGCGGGCCAUUGAUUUGAGCCUUUGAGGGAGGAUAGGGCUGGCCUUUGUGAA
rnacentral:lncRNA from 1 species